rnacentral:rRNA from 1 species
UACGGAGGAUGCGAGCGUUAUCCGGAUUUAUUGGGUUUAAAGGGUGCGUAGGCGGGCUGUUAAGUCAGCGGUAAAAGCCCGGGGCUCAACCCCGGCGAGCCGUUGAAACUGGCUGUCUUGAGAUGUCGAGAGGUAUGCGGAAUGCGCAGUGUAGCGGUGAAAUGCUUAGAUAUUGCGCAGAACUCCGAUUGCGAAGGCAGCAUACCGGCGGCGAUCUGACGCUGAGGCACGAAAGCGUGGGUAGCAAACAGG